GAUGAACGCUGUCUACAGGCUUAACACAUGCAAGUCGAGGGGAAACGACGGGGAAGCUUGCUUCCCCGGGCGUCGACCGGCGCACGGGUGAGUAACGCGUAUCCAACCUGCCUCUGACUGAGGGAUAACCCGUCGAAAGUCGGCCUAAUACCUCAUGGCAUCGUCUGCGGGCAUCCAACGACGAUUAAAGAUUUCAUCGGUCAGGGAUGGGGAUGCGUCUGAUUAGCUUGUUGGCGGGGUAACGGCCCACCAAGGCUACGAUCAGUAGGGGUUCUGAGAGGAAGGUCCCCCACAUUGGAACUGAGACACGGUCCAAACUCCUACGGGAGGCAGCAGUGAGGAAUAUUGGUCCAUGGGCGGGAGCCUGAACCAGCCAAGUAGCGUGCAGGAUGACGGCCCUAUGGGUUGUAAACUGCUUUUAUGCGGGGAUAAAGUGAGGGACGUGUCCUUCAUUGCAGGUACCGCAUGAAUAAGGACCGGCUAAUUCCGUG
rnacentral:rRNA from 1 species